rnacentral:rRNA from 1 species
UACAGAGGUCUCAAGCGUUGUUCGGAUUCAUUGGGCGUAAAGGGUGCGUAGGCGGCGCGGUAAGUCGGGUGUGAAAUCUCGGAGCCUUAACUCCGAAACUGCAUUCGAUACUACCGUGCUUGAGGACUGGAGAGGAGACUGGAAUUUACGGUGUAGCGGUGAAAUGCGUAGAUAUCGUAAGGAAGACCAGUGGCGAAGGCGGGUCUCUGGACAGUUCCUGACGCUGAGGCACGAAGGCCAGGGAGCAAACGGG